GAUUCAAUUUAAUUUGAAUUAAUAAAUUUAUUUUAUAUAAUUAGUUUUAAAAUUAUUAAAAAAAAUAUUUUUUUGUUUUAUUAUUUAUUUAGAAAAAAUAAAUUAAAUUAUAGUUUAUUAGUAUAGUAAUAGAAAAUUUAAAUAUAUUGAAAUAUUUAAUUAUUUAAAAGUAGAUAUUUAUUGUACCUUGUGUAUCAGGGUUAAUUAAUUAAUAUUUAUAAAAAUUAAAUUUCUCGAAUUUUUAAGAGUUAAUAUAAUAUAUAUUUUAUUGUAAAAUAAAUAUUUAUAAUAUUAUAUUAGAAAUGAAAUGUUAUUCGUUUAAAAAUAUAUCUAGUUUUUUAAGAAAUGAAUUUAAUUCAUUUAUUUUUUAUUAUAAAAUUAAAUUAAAUAAUUUUAUAAUUAUAAAUAUAUAAUAUUUAAAGGGAUAAGCUUUUAAAUAAAUUGAUUAUAAUGAAUUUAAUUAAUUUAUAAAUUUAUAGAAUUGGAAUUUUUUUUUUUUAAUAGUAUGUUAUAAUUAAUUUAAAUAAUAAUAUAAUUUAUAUAUAAAUUUAAUUAUUUUAUUAAAAUUUUUUUUGAAAUAGAUUAUGAAAAGUAAUAAUGAUUAAAUUAGUAUAAAUUUUUGUAUUUAUUUUUAUUAAAUUAAAGGUUAAAUUAAGGAAUUCGGCAAAUUUAUUUUUCGCCUGUUUAUUAAAAACAUGUCUUUUUGAUUAUAAUUUAAAGUCUAAUCUGCCCACUGAAAUUUUUAAAUGGCCGCGGUAUUUUGACCGUGCAAAGGUAGCAUAAUAAUUAGUUUUUUAAUUGAAAGCUGGAAUGAAUGAUUGAACGAGAAAAUUACUGUCUCAAUUUAAAUUUUAUUAGAAAUUAAUUUUUAAGUAAAAAAGCUUAAAUUUUUUUAAAAGACGAGAAGACCCUAUAGAGUUUUAUAAAUUUUAAUUUUAAUUUUUAUUAGAAUUAUUAAAUUUUAAAAUUAUAUAAUUUAUUUUGUUGGGGCGAUAGGAAAAUUAAAUUAACUUUUUUUUUAUUUAUUCAUUAAUAUAUGUAUAUUUGAUCCAAUAAUUUUGAUUAUAAGAGUAAAUUACCUUAGGGAUAACAGCGUAAUUUUUCUUUAGAGAUCUUAUUGAAAGAAUUGAUUGCGACCUCGAUGUUGGAUUAAAAUAAAUUUUUGGUGUAGAAGCUAAAAUAAUUAGGUCUGUUCGACCUUUAAAAUUUUACAUGAUCUGAGUUUAGACCGGCGUGAGCCAGGUCGGUUUCUAUCUUUAAAAUAUUUAAAUAUUUUAGUACGAAAGGACCAAGUAUUUGAUAAAUUUAUUUAUUUAUUGAAUAUUAUUGUUACUUUGGCAGAAUAGUGUAAUAAAUUUAGAAUUUA
rnacentral:rRNA from 1 species